rnacentral:rRNA from 1 species
GCCAGCAGCCAUAUCACCCUGCAACUCACAGCUGGCAGCCCACUGAAGCUCAGCAGGUGUGAGCCUGGUCAGUACCUGAAUGGGAGACUCAUGGGAAAAACUAAGGUUGCUGCUGGAA